ACACAUGCAGUCGAGCGGGGAANGGUNGCUUGCUACCUGACCUAGCGGCGGACGGGUGAGUAAUGCUUAGGAAUCUGCCUAUUAGUGGGGGACAACAUUCCGAAAGGAAUGCUAAUACCGCAUACGCCCUACGGGGGAAAGCAGGGGAUCUUCGGACCUUGCGCUAAUAGAUGAGCCUAAGUCAGAUUAGCUAGUUGGUGGGGUAAAGGCCUACCAAGGCGACGAUCUGUAGCGGGUCUGAGAGGAUGAUCCGCCACACUGGGACUGAGACACGGCCCAGACUCCUACGGGAGGCAGCAGUGGGGAAUAUUGGACAAUGGGCGCAAGCCUGAUCCAGCCAUGCCGCGUGUGUGAAGAAGGCCUUUUGGUUGUAAAGCACUUUAAGCGAGGAGGAGGCUACUNNNAUUAAUACUCUNGGAUAGUGGACGUUACUCGCAGAAUAAGCACCGGCUAACUCUGUGCCAGCAGCCGCGGUAAUACAGAGGGUGCGAGCGUUAAUCGGAUUUACUGGGCGUAAAGCGUGCGUAGGCGGCUUUUUAAGUCGGAUGUGAAAUCCCUGAGCUUAACUUAGGAAUUGCAUUCGAUACUGG
rnacentral:rRNA from 1 species